AUGCAUGUCUAAGUAUAAGCAAUUAUACCGUGAAACUGCGAAUGGCUCAUUAAAUCAGUUAUCGUUUAUUUGAUAGUACCUUACUACUUGGAUAACCGUGGUAAUUCUAGAGCUAAUACAUGCUGAAAACCCCAACUUCGGGAGGGGUGUAUUUAUUAGAUAAAAAACCAACGCCCUUCGGGGCUUCUUGGUGAUUCAUGAUAACUUCACGGAUCGCAUGGCCUUGCGCCGGCGACGGUUCAUUCAAAUUUCUGCCCUAUCAACUUUCGAUGGUAAGGUAUUGGCUUACCAUGGUUUCAACGGGUAACGGGGAAUUAGGGUUCGAUUCCGGAGAGGGAGCCUGAGAAACGGCUACCACAUCCAAGGAAGGCAGCAGGCGCGCAAAUUACCCAAUCCCGACACGGGGAGGUAGUGACAAUAAAUACUGAUACAGGGCUCUUUUGGGUCUUGUAAUUGGAAUGAGUACAAUUUAAACCUCUUAACGAGGAACAAUUGGAGGGCAAGUCUGGUGCCAGCAGCCGCGGUAAUUCCAGCUCCAAUAGCGUAUAUUAAAGUUGUUGCAGUUAAAAAGCUCGUAGUUGAAACUUGGGCCUGGCUGGCAGGUCCGCCUCACCGCGUGUACUUGUCCGGCCGGGCCUUUCCUUCUGGAGAACCUCAUGCCCUUCACUGGGUGUGUUGGGGAACCAGGACUUUUACUUUGAAAAAAUUAGAGUGUUCAAAGCAGGCCUUUGCUCGAAUACGUUAGCAUGGAAUAAUAGAAUAGGACGUGCGGUCCUAUUUUGUUGGUUUCUAGGACCGCCGUAAUGAUUAAUAGGGACAGUCGGGGGCAUCAGUAUUCAAUUGUCAGAGGUGAAAUUCUUGGAUUUAUUGAAGACUAACUACUGCGAAAGCAUUUGCCAAGGAUGUUUUCAUUAAUCAGUGAACGAAAGUUAGGGGAUCGAAGACGAUCAGAUACCGUCGUAGUCUUAACCGUAAACUAUGCCGACUAGGGAUCGGGCGAUGUUCUUUUUCUGACUCGCUCGGCACCUUACGAGAAAUCAAAGUUUUUGGGUUCUGGGGGGAGUAUGGUCGCAAGGC
rnacentral:rRNA from 1 species